AUUGAACGCUGGCGGCAUGCUUUACACAUGCAAGUCGAACGGUAACAGGCCGCAAGGUGCUGACGAGUGGCGAACGGGUGAGUAAUGCAUCGGAACGUGCCCAGUCGUGGGGGAUAACUACUCGAAAGAGUAGCUAAUACCGCAUACGAUCUAUGGAUGAAAGCGGGGGACCGUAAGGCCUCGCGCGAUUGGAGCGGCCGAUGUCAGAUUAGGUAGUUGGUGGGGUAAAGGCUCACCAAGCCAACGAUCUGUAGCUGGUCCGAGAGGACGACCAGCCACACUGGGACUGAGACACGGCCCAGACUCCUACGGGAGGCAGCAGUGGGGAAUUUUGGACAAUGGGCGCAAGCCUGAUCCAGCAAUGUCGCGUGCAGGAAGAAGGCCUUCGGGUUGUAAACUGCUUUUGUACGGAACGAAACGGCUCUGGUUAAUACCCGGGGCUAAUGACGGUACCGUAAGAAUAAGCACCGGCUAACUACGUG
rnacentral:rRNA from 1 species